UGAGGAAUAUUGGUCAAUGGGCGCGAGCCUGAACCAGCCAAGUAGCGUGAAGGAUGAAGGUCCUAUGGAUUGUAAACUUCUUUUAUAGCAGAAUAAAGUGACCCACGUGUGGGUUUUUGUAUGUAUGCUAUGAAUAAGGAUCGGCUAACUCCGUGCCAGCAGCCGCGGUAAUACGGAGGAUCCGAGCGUUAUCCGGAUUUAUUGGGUUUAAAGGGUGCGUAGGCGGAAAGAUAAGUCAGCCUGUGAAAGUUUGCGGCUCAACCGUAAAAUUGCAGUUGAUACUGUUUUUCUUGAGUGUACAUAAGGUAGGCGGAAUUCGUGGUGUAGCGGUGAAAUGCUUAGAUAUCACGAAGAACUCCGAUUGCGAAGGCAGCUUACCGGGGUACAACUGACGCUGAUGCACGAAAGUGUGGGUA
rnacentral:rRNA from 1 species